rnacentral:lncRNA from 1 species
CUAUAUUAUCAUUAUACAUUUAUACAUAAUUAUUCAUUUUAUAAACAUUUACAUUUUUUUUUUUUUUAUUUUUUUGUUUUAUUACAUUCAACCUGUCUCAACAUUGCUCGUUUGUUGUCGCAUAAUAUUACGUAGGUAAUUAAAAAAAAAAUCCGAAAAGUGUCUGUUCCAUUGUUAAUUGGCAACAUCUCAAAGGUUUUAUUUUGUCAUUUAUUUUUUCGUUCAUAUACCGGUCAACGAUUAUGACGUAGGUAAACAUUUCACAGGCGUAUUGAAGUUCGACGACAAGAAAGGAAGUUUUCUGUCGGCUCUGCCGUACGUUGAAUUGACCGUUAUUCUCCAAUUUAACGGAUUUAUCGUGUACUGGAAAAGACAAAAAAAUUUGCUCACUAAUACACAUGUAAGGACACAUGAACUAUGAUUUACAUUUUAUUUAUUAAUGUUUUCUUUUCACUCGUGCAUAGGUCAGAAAAAUGUUUAACAGUGCUGCAUUUUUUAGUCAAACCGUUUUCAUGUUUUUCACGGCGCAUAAUACGACAAAACACGGAGCUAUAAUUUGUCUGAUAUUAGCGGUCAGUCUAGAAGGAUUCGUUUGGGAUGGAUUUCAGUAACUAUAUUAUUAAUUGUAUUCUGGCCUACGAUAACCGGUAUAUAAUAGGGGAACAUUAGGUAGAACGAGGAAGCUAAGGUAUAAAUAGGUAGCUAUAAUUCACUCAAAAAUUGUGAUUUUGAUUUAAAAUAUGUACUGUGUAGUUAACAAGAUUUGCAGGUCAUUAACACGUUAACA